CAGUGAAAAGCCAAAACAGAGGCAUUUAAUUGUUAAUUAAAACAUUGAAUCUUUUUCUUCACUGG
rnacentral:tRNA from 1 species